rnacentral:rRNA from 1 species
GACGUAGGUGGCGAACGUUAUCCGGAAUUAUUGGGCGUAAAGGGUGCGUAGAUGGUCUGAUAAGUUAGCAGUGGUAAAUCGAGGCUCAACCUCGUGGAAACUGAUAAUACUGUCUGGCUCGAGUACAGAAGAGGUUAAACGGAAUUCCAUGUGGAGCGGUAAAAUGCAUAGAUAUAUGGAAGAACACCAAUAACGGCGAAGGCAGUUAACUAUUCGUGUUACUGACAUUGAGGCACGAAAGCGUGGGGAGCAAAACGG